rnacentral:snRNA from 1 species
AUACUUACCUGGCAGGGGAGAUACCAUGAUCACAAAGGCAAUUUUCCAGGUUGAGGCUUAUCUAUUGCACUCCAGAUGUGGUGAUCCCUGGAAUUUCCCCAAAUUCAGGAAACUCAACUGCAUAAUUUGUGGUAGUGGGGGACUGCGUUUGUGCUCUCCCCUC